UACGAAGGGUGCUAGCGUUGUUCGGAAUUACUGGGCGUAAAGAGCGCGUAGGCGGUUAUACAAGUCAGGGGUGAAAUCCCAGAGCUUAACUCUGGAACUGCCUUUGAAACUGUAUAGCUGGAGUGUGUGAGGGGAUAGCGGAAUUCUUAAUGUAGAGGUGAAAUUCGUAGAUAUUAAGAGGAACACCGGUGGCGAAGGCGGCUACCUGGACAGAAACUGACGCUGAGGCGCGAAAGCUAGGGGAGCAAACAGG
rnacentral:rRNA from 1 species